UGGCAAACAGCAAUGGCAAACAGCUAUGGCAAAACAGCAAAAAACGUAAUAAUAAGGCUAAUUAUAGUAGCAAUAGGAGUUUGCCAUGACAAUUCUGCCAAGGCAGACCUCCGGCACCUGUCACACUGAUGAUCAGUGGAAAAAAGGACGCAUUCUAUAGUAGUCUAUAGAUUGUAUCCUAUAAAGAAAAACAAAUAAAAAAAACAACACAAAAAUAAAGAAAUUAACCCGAGUAUCAACAAACAUUAACCAGGGUGGGGGCGAAGGGGAACAGAGCGAAAGAGCAGUUGUUGCUGGCUAGCCAAGCUGUAGCAAAGUGACAGAUGCGUGAGAAUCGCAACUGUUCUAAGUGACGCCAGGGGCUCCCCGCUGCUAGAUACAUCUGUCGUUAACUUCGCUUAAAUCUACGUUUAACCACAUUAAACUGGACUAAGUUUAUCUUAAUUGGGUAGCCCCAUCAGUUCUAAACCACGGACACUUAUUAAAAACUAAACGUCUUCGUAUUUUCCAGGUGAGUGUAGGUAGGAAUCACGUGUGUGUCGUGACUUCGGACAGCUCGGUGUUUACCUGGGGUGACAACAGUAAAGGACAGCUCGGUCAUGGGGAUCUGGUGUCUAGAGAGAUACCCACCCAGAUCGAGGCUGUCAAAGGAAAGAAUGUUGUGACGUAAGUAUCUAACGAGUAUGAUUAAAGUCGAGCAGCAGUUGACAUGAAACUGAAAGUCAUUACUCAUAUUGAUUGCACUUUCCAGAACAUUCCAAAAAGUAAACUGACAUUAUUUAUACUGGAUAUCUCUACCAGUUCUAAACUGUUCUUCCUAGAGGUCCAGUGAGGAUCAUCUCUUAUUGAUCCAGUGUUACUAGAGGAGGAAACCUAAACUAAACUAACUUUAUUUAUACUGGAUAGCUCUAUCAGUUCUAAACUGUUCUUCCUAGAGGUCCAGUAAGGAUCAUCUCUU
rnacentral:lncRNA from 1 species